AGGAGUUUAUGUCUUAGCGAGUGGUUAUACAUUUAUAAUGGAGGCAAGCCUAAAAUGCUGUGAGAUUAAAGAAGAUGGAGUAAUUAAUUGCUUGGGGCUGGGAAUUCAUGGAAGUCUUCAUAGAGGAGGUACGCAAUCCAGUGAUUGAAAAUUAAUUCACCUUAGUCAGAAGACAGUUAAUUCCUGACACUGCAACAAUUUGUCUUGUCAAGAUGUGAUAUUUGCAGAGAACUAGAAUAGCAUGACAACAAAAACCCUUCUGACUUGUGGGAUUUCAAACAAAAAGGUUAAAAUUGCAUUCUGCAGCUAUACAAAUUAGCAUAGACCUUCACUACAGCCUCAGGUACUGGAACAAAACUGGAGCAGUUCUCAAUAAAAUUAAGCUGUUGAGAAUAAAAAAGAACUUGAAACAGUAA